AUCUCUUCCGCCCUCCCCUCUCUGUUGCAGGCUUGCAGCGACCAAGAAUUACUCAGACCAGGCUUCGAUAAGGUCCUCUGUUGCAGGCUUGCCGCGACCAACCGACCUUUCAUCUCGCCGUAGACAGAUUGCAGACCAGUCGGCAAGGCAAAUGGCAAUUAUAACCUAUAGGAAUUGUUGAUUUCAUUAAAAAAAGUGACUGUAUUCUCUGUUUCAUUAUUAAAUGAUAAAGCUGUGUUGCACUAUUGUUGAUUC